CGGUGUUUAACUGGCGUGAUGUGGGACGUCCUACCGGUGGGCUUAGCCUCGCGAGGGGCGGCCCAACUAAUAUCCCGUCGCGGUGCUCUUUACUGAGUGUCGAGUCGGGCCGGUACGUUUACUUUGAACAAAUUAGAGUGCUUAAAGCAGGCUAUCCUCGCCUGAAUACUGCGUGCAUGGAAUAAUGGAAUAGGACCUCGGUUCUAUUUUGUUGGUUUUCGGAACCCCGAGGUAAUGAUUAAUAGGGACAGAUGGGGGCAUUCGUAUUGCGACGUUAGAGGUGAAAUUCUUGGAUCGUCGCAAGACGGACAGAAGCGAAAGCAUUUGCCAAAAAUGUUUUCAUUAAUCAAGAACGAAAGUUAGAGGUUCGAAGGCGAUCAGAUACCGCCCUAGUUCUAACCAUAAACGAUGCCAGCUAGCGAUCCGCCGAAGUUCCUCCGAUGACUCGGCGGGCAGCUUCCGGGAAACCAAAGCUUUUGGGUUCCGGGGGAAGUAUGGUUGCAAAGCUGAAACUUAAAGGAAUUGACGGAAGGGCACCACCAGGAGUGGAGCCUGCGGCUUAAUUUGACUCAACACGGGAAACCUCACCAGGCCCAGACACCGGAAGGAUUGACAGAUUGAUAGCUCUUUCUUGAUUCGGUGGGUGGUGGUGCAUGGCCGUUCUUAGUUGGUGGAGCGAUUUGUCUGGUUAAUUCCGAUAACGAACGAGACUCUAGCCUGCUAAAUAGGCGUACCUUAUGGUAUCGCGAAGGCCCCCGGCUUCGGCCGGUGGGUUUUUACUACCAACGUACAAACAAAUCUUCUUAGAGGGACAGCGCGG
rnacentral:rRNA from 1 species